rnacentral:rRNA from 1 species
ACACAUGCAAGUCGAACGAUGAUCCCCAGCUUGCUGGGGUGAUUAGUGGCGAACGGGUGAGUAACACGUGAGUAACCUGCCCUUGACUCUGGGAUAAGCGUUGGAAACGACGUCUAAUACCGGAUACGACCAGCCCUGGCAUCGGGUGUUGGUGGAAAGAAUUUUGGUCAAGGAUGGACUCGCGGCCUAUCAGGUAGUUGGUGAGGUAAUGGCUCACCAAGCCUACGACGGGUAGCCGGCCUGAGAGGGUGACCGGCCACACUGGGACUGAGACACGGCCCAGACUCCUACGGGAGGCAGCAGUGGGGAAUAUUGCACAAUGGGCGAAAGCCUGAUGCAGCAACGCCGCGUGAGGGACGACGGCCUUCGGGUUGUAAACCUCUUUUAGCAGGGAAGAAGCGAAAGUGACGGUACCUGCAGAAAAAGCACCGGCUAACUACGUGCCAGCAGCCGCGGUAAUACGUAGGGUGCAAGCGUUGUCCGGAAUUAUUGGGCGUAAAGAGCUCGUAGGCGGUUUGUCGCGUCUGCUGUGAAAACCCGAGGCUCA